rnacentral:tRNA from 9 species
GGUCUGGUAGUUCAGCUGGUUAGAAUACCUGCCUGUCACGCAGGGGGUCGCGGGUUCGAGUCCCGUCCAGACCGCGA